GUGUGCGAGCCGGCAGUGGGCCCUGGUGGGAACGCCGGUGGACACGCGGCGCCUGACUCUCGGGCAGGGCUGUGGGCCGCGGGCGAGGAGGGGGCCCGCCCUUCCGCCGCCGGUGGACUCUUCCCUGCCCCGGCGGGUCUCCCUACCGGACGCCAAGUCUCGCCACCGAUUUCCGUCUCACACUGCUCGCCCUAGACUUACUCCUAGUACUCGUCCUUUAAACACACACGAGUCCUCCCGGGUAGUUCCCAGACCACGGCCUAAUAAACAACUUUGUUUGCUGAACAUCCCGGGAGACUGAGGACACCACCCUUGCUCAGUACUGCCUCGAACAAAGAGGUGUUUGGAACAGACGCCACAGUGUGCUCGCGUCUGACCUUGUUGGGGUAUCUGUUUACUGGCUCACAUGCCGGAGAAACCGAUGAGCGCUGGCCUCUGUUCUCACCUUGCCGUCUGGUCGGGUUACAUGUGAAACACUUCCCGGCGAUUAUAAAAAGAAACAA